rnacentral:rRNA from 1 species
UACAGAGGGGGCAAGCGUUGUUCGGAAUUACUGGGCGUAAAGGGCUCGUAGGCGGUCUGUCGCGUCGGGAGUGAAAACUCAGGGCUUAACCCUGAGCCUGCUUCCGAUACGGGCAGACUAGAGGUAUGCAGGGGAGAACGGAAUUCCUGGUGUAGCGGUGGAAUGCGCAGAUAUCAGGAGGAACACCGGUGGCGAAGGCGGUUCUCUGGGCCUUACCUGACGCUGAGGAGCGAAAGCGUGGGGAGCGAACAGG